AUGAACGCUAACGGCAGGCUUAACACAUGCAAGUCGAGGGGCAGCACAAGUAGCAAUACUGGGUGGCGACCGGCGCAAGGGUGCGUAACGCGUGAGCAACAUGCCCGUAUCAGGGGGAUAAUCCAUGGAAACGUGGUCUAAUACCCCAUAGUAAGUUUUUGAGGCAUCUCAAGGAUUUUAAAGCUUUGGUGGAUACGGAUUGGCUCGCGUGACAUUAGCUGGAUGGUAGGGUAACGGCUUACCAUGGCUACGAUGUCUAGGGGUUCUGAGAGGAAGGUCCCCCACACUGGAACUGAGACACGGUCCAGACUCCUACGGGAGGCAGCAGUGAGGAAUAUUGGACAAUGGAUGGAAAUCUGAUCCAGCCAUGCCGCGUGCAGGAAGACGGCCCUAUGGGUUGUAAACUGCUUUUGUAUGGGAGCAAUAAGAUCUACGUGUAGAUUGAUGAGAGUACCAUACGAAUAAGCACCGGCUAACUCCGUG
rnacentral:rRNA from 1 species